GCACCAGUAGUCUAAUGGCAGGAUACGAGCUUCCCAAGCUUGCGAUUCGGGUUCAAAUCCCGGCUGGUGCA
rnacentral:tRNA from 7 species